rnacentral:misc_RNA from 1 species
CAGGUCGGCUCCUCUCAAAUGAAUCAGCUUGCCGGUGUUUGGUGGCGUCACAGGUGUGAUAACUAUCUACGCUUGUGGUGUUUCCGCCAGGUAACCUCCAGCGAUGGGGGUUCACUGGAGCUCACAAAUGUCUCUCCUCGGUGAGGACAGCUCUUUGAACGUUUGAUCUCAAAUCAGGUAGGACUACCCGCUGAACUUAA